GACGAACCGUGCGAACGUUAUUCGGAAUCACUGGGCUUAAAGGGCGCGUAGGCGGGCUCGCACGUCAGGGGUGAAAUCCCACGGCCCAACCGUGGAAGUGCCCCUGAUACGGCGGGCCUCGAGGGAGGUAGGGGCGUGCGGAACUCAGGGUGGAGCGGUGAAAUGCGUAGAUAUCCUGAGGAACACCGGUGGCGAAAGCGGCGCGCUGGACCUCUUCUGACGCUGAGGCGCGAAAGCCAGGGGAGCGAACGGG
rnacentral:rRNA from 1 species